rnacentral:rRNA from 1 species
AUUGAACGCUGGCGGCAUGCUUUCCACAUGCAAGUCGAACGGCAGCGCGGGGGCAACCCUGGCGGCGAGUGGCGAACGGGUGAGUAAUCCUUCGGAACGUACCCAGUAGCGGGGGAUAACGCAGCGAAAGUUGUGCUAAUACCGCAUACGCUCUACUGAGGAAAGAGGGGGAUCGCAAGACCUCUCACUACUGGAGCGGCCGAAGCCUGGUUAGCUAGUUGGUGGGGUAAAGGCCCACCAAGGCGACGAACAGUAGCUGGUUUGAGAGAACGACCAGCCACACUGGGACGGAGACACGGACCAGACUCCUACGGGAGGCAGCAGUGGGUAAAUGUGGACAAUGGGGGCAACCCUGAUCCAGCCAUGCCGCGUGCGGGAAGAAGGCCGUCGGGUUGUAAACCGCUUUUGUUCGGGAAGAAAGCGACUUCGCUAAUACCGAGGUUGGAUGACGGUACCGGAAGAAUAAGCACCGGCUGACUACGUGCCAGCCGCCGCCGUAA